rnacentral:rRNA from 1 species
GUGGGGAAUCUUAGACAAUGGGGGAAACCCUGAUCUAGCCAUGCCGCGUGAGCGAUGAAGGCCUUAGGGUUGUAAAGCUCUUUCAGCUGGGAAGAUAAUGACUGUACCAGCAGAAGAAGCCCCGGCUAACUCCGUGCCAGCAGCCGCGGUAAUACGGAGGGGGCUAGCGUUGUUCGGAAUUACUGGGCGUAAAGCGCACGUAGGCGGACCGGAAAGUCAGAGGUGAAAUCCCAGGGCUCAACCUUGGAACUGCCUUUGAAACUCCUGGUCUUGAGGUCGAGAGAGGUGAGUGGAAUUCCGAGUGUAGAGGUGAAAUUCGUAGAUAUUCGGAGGAACACCAGUGGCGAAGGCGACUACCUGGACUGAUACUGACACUGAGGUGCGAAAGCGUGGGGAGCAAACAGGAUUAGAAACCCCGGUAGUCC